rnacentral:rRNA from 1 species
AGAGUUUGAUCAUGGCUCAGAACGAACGCUGGCGGCAGGCCUAACACAUGCAAGUCGAGCGCACCUUUUGAACUUCGGUUCACUGGGCGAGCGGCGGACGGGUUAGUAACGCGUGGGAACGUGCCCUUCUCUAAGGAAUAGCCUUUGGAAACGAAGAGUAAUACCUUAUACGCCCUUCGGGGGAAAGAUUUAUCGGAGAAGGAUCGGCCCGCGUAAGAUUAGAUAGUUGGUGGGGUAAUGGCCUACCAAGUCUACGAUCUUUAGCUGGUUUUAGAGGAUGAUCAGCAACACUGGGACUGAGACACGGCCCAGACUCCUACGGGAGGCAGCAGUGGGGAAUCUUGGACAAUGGGCGCAAGCCUGAUCCAGCCAUGCCGCGUGUGUGAUGAAGGCCCUAGGGUCGUAAAGCACUUUCGCCAGAGAUGAUAAUGACAGUAUCUGGUAAAGAAGUCCCGGCUAACUCCGUGCCAGCAGCCGCGGUAAUACGGAGGGGACUAGCGUUGUUCGGAAUUACUGGGCGUAAAGCGUACGUAGGCGGAUCAGAAAGUAAGGGGUGAAAUCCCAGGGCUCAACCCUGGAACUGCCUCUUAAACUCCUGGUCUUGAGUUCGAGAGAGGUGAGUGGAAUUCCGAGUGUAGAGGUGAAAUUCGUAGAUAUUCGGAGGAACACCAGUGGCGAAGGCGGCUCACUGGCUCGAUACUGACGCUGAGGUACGAAAGUGUGGGGAGCAAACAGGAUUAGAUACCCUGGUAGUCCACACCGUAAACGAUGAAUGCCAGUCGUCGGGUAGCAUGCUAUUCGGUGACACACCUAACGGAUUAAGCAUUCCGCCUGGGGAGUACGGUCGCAAGAUUAAAACUCAAAUGAAUUGACGG